ACAGCUCGGGCGCGCAGUCCGGGGUUAGGCAGGCUGCAGUGGAGGAGGGUACGCCGUUCCAUUGGCGUGGUACUGUCGGCGGCCCUUCAGAGGAGAUGCUGCCCCACGGAACGCCUGGCAAGUGCUGGCGAAGCGGCAUGGGCGUCCCACUCCGUUCCUCAACCAAUUUCCUCACAAUCGCGAGCCGAAGUGUGGCGCUUUGGCAGUUUCGCAAGGUCUUUUGUCAGGAGAUGAGUUACUGAGGAUUGGGGGUCUUUGGAGCUCUUGGACCUGAAGAACGAUUAAGUUUUUCUCCCUUCAGAGAGCCAAGAGAUGGGGUCUUGCUGUGUUGCCCAGGGUGGAGUGCAGUGGCUAUUCACAGGUGUGAUCAUAGCUACUAUAGCCUCAAACCCUGGGUUCAAGUGAGUCCUUUGAACUAGAACAUUGGCCUUUUCUGGUUCUGCAGAAGCUUCCAGCCUUCAGAUUUGAACUGGGACACUGGCUCUGCAGAUUUUGGACUUGCCAGCCUUCAUAAUUGUAACCUACACUCCUGUCAUUUGUGGAAUGAUUGCUGGAGCCAGAGGCCAGGAAGAAGUUCAUGAGCCUGAGAGAAAAAGCAAGGAUUUCCAGUUCUACCCUACAGAGUCUUGUUCUGUUGCCCAGGCUGCAGUGCAAUGGAGUGAUCUUGGCUCACUGCAACCUCCACCUCCCAGGUUCAACUGAUUCUCCUGUGUCAGCCUCCCGAGUAGCUGGGAUUACAGGCACCUGCCAUCAUGCCUGGCUAAUUUUUUUGUAUUUUGGAGAGACGGGGUUUCACCAUGUUGGCCAGGCUGGUCCUGAACUCCUGACCUCAGGUGAUCCACCUGCCUCUGCCUCCCAAAGUCCUGGGGUUACAGGCGUGAGCCACCGCACCCAGCCCGAUUCACAUCACUUUAAACUGAAGACAUUAUCACAGAACCCUAGGAGUGACAUGAGACUCCUUGCACAUGGGAAAUCUUUGCUUAUGGAAAAGAAGAAAAGCAAGGUCAGGGGCAGGUGGAUAGACAUAAAGGUCUUUACCAACAAGUUCAGGCUUCUUGUUUGAGAGAAUCUGGUAGAAGAUGUGGUAGCUUCUCUCGGCUGCUUGCUGUGAGAUGACACGAGAUUUCUCUAAGAGAUCUGAAAAAGAAGUGAAGAUCCUGGUGAGUACACAGCUGUUUCCCUGGAGUUCAGGGCUCCAUACAAAGCAGGAAUCUCCUCUCCAUAAAGCCCAGAACAGUCACCAGUGGUGAGCCCCACGCUUCGCUCUUCCCAGACACGCAGCCUCCGGGGACCUGACUGCCACGGGGGGAGUCCUGGGAACGGGGCCAGCCUCCUGGGCACCAACAGGCUGCAAUCAGAAGGACCUCCCACUUGGCUUGAUGCUCCUCUGUUGCUGUUUCAAAAUUCCUUUAUUAUUAUUAUUAUUUUUAGAGACAGGGUCUUGCUGCGUUACCCAGGCUGGAGUGCAGUGGUGUGAUUAUUUAUUUAUUCAUUUAUUUUUAUUUAUUUAUUUUUUUGAGAUGGAGUCUUGCUCUGUUGCCCAGGCUGGAGUGCAAUGGAGUGAUCUCGGCUCACUGCAACCUCUGCCUCCCAGGUUCAAAGCAGGAAUCCCCUCUCCAUAAAGCCCAGAACAGUCACCAGUGGUGACUGUUCACUGCAGCCUCUAACUCCUGGGCUCAAGUGAUCCUCUUGCCUUAGCCUCCUGAGUAGCUGGGACUACAGGCAUGUACCACCAUGCCAGGCUAAUUUUUCACAUUUUUUGUAGAGAUGGGAUCUUAUUAUGUUGCCCAGGCUGGUCUUGAACUCCUAGGCUCAAGCGACCCUCCCGCCUCGGCCUCCCAAAGUGCUAGAAUUACAGGCAUAAGCCACCUCGCCUGGCCUGAAAUUCUUAAUAUUUUUUAAGAAGAGCCCCUCAUUUUCAUGUUGCACCAGGCCUCACAGAUUAUGUAGCUGCACAGACAAACCCUCCAAGGAGGGCCUGACUUACAGCUCUCUAUGUCGGCUCCAGCCAGUUUCCCUGUGGUUCCAAAGUGGAUUCGGAUGAACUUGCCCUGAGCAGGGAAGAGAGGGGAGGGAUCAGGAGGGAGGUCGUCCACAGCUUUAGACCAGUAAGUGGCCCAGAGUUGGCCAAGGGUUGCUGAUCGGGGCCUGCGGGGAUGUAACCGGGCUCUAUUGGAGUAUCGGAUUUCCCACGAAGAUAGAGAAACACACGGACAGGUCUCAGAGCUAAAUCUAGGGUCUGUGGUUUGGGGCAUUUGUAGGGGAGAGAAGUCCCAGCAGGAGGGCUGCUACCCUUUGGAAUUCUGCAUAGAGACCAGGCACCAUGGGAAUUUGGAGGACCUCCCAUGCCUCUUUAUCGGGAGCCUUCCAUGUCAUUCCUCUCUCUGGCUUGCAUGGUACAGCCAUCAAUAA
ensembl:lncRNA novel transcript